GACGAACGCUGGCGGCGGGCUUAACACAUGCAAGUCGGACGCUCCGGUUUUGGCCGGGGCGUGGCGCACGGGUGCGUAACACGUAGGUAACCUGCCCUCGAGUGGGGAAUAACCCCGGGAAACCGGGGCUAAUACCGCAUACAGACUGGGAGCUGCAUGGCUCUCAGUUGAAAGCCGUGCACCGGUGACGGUGCGGGCGCUCGGGGAUGGGCCUGCGGCGGAUUAGGUAGUUGGUGGGGUAAGGGCCUACCAAGCCUGCGAUCCGUAGCUGGUCUGAGAGGAUGAUCAGCCACACUGGCACUGAGACACGGGCCAGACUCCUACGGGAGGCAGCAGUGAGGAAUUUUGCGCAAUGGAGGCAACUCUGACGCAGCCACGCCGCGUGCAGGAGGACGCCCCUACGGGGUGUAAACUGCUUUUCUGCGAGAAGAAGGCCUUGCUUUGGGCAGGGUGUGACGGUAUCGCAGGAAUAAGCACCGGCUAACUCCGUGCCAGCAGCCG
rnacentral:rRNA from 1 species